rnacentral:rRNA from 1 species
CGGCGAGCGAAGCGGGAAGAGCCCAAAAUGAAAAGCCAGCUUGCUGGCAUUGUAGUUGAGCGACCUUGGGGUGUCAGUCUGGGUAAGUCGCAUGGAAAUGCGUGCCGUGGAGGGUGAGAGCCCCGUCCAUCCCAUUCAGGACACUCCGCACAAGGGCGUUUCAGACGAGUCGGGUAGCUUGGGAAUGCUGCUCUAAUUGGUGGUAAAUCUCAUCAAAGGCUAAAUAACGGUGGGAGACCGAUAGCGAACAAGUACCGUGAGGGAAAGAUGACAAGCACUUUGAAAAGAGGGUGAAAAGAGCCUGAAACCGUUACGGGGGAAGCGGAUUGCGUUGGCCUGGUGGCCGCCUGUGUGUUCAGCCUUUUGGGUGCAUUGAUGCAGGUGGUUAUCCGUCGUGGCUUCUCGGGGGUCGAAUUUGGGCCGCUGGGGGGUGAGGGCUCCCCUUUAAUUUGGGUGAGGACGACGGAGUGACGACGCGAUACGACCCGUCUUGAAACACGGACCAAGGAGUCUAGCGCGGGUGCGAGUCGGAGGGUGUGAAAACCCGUGGGCGAAGUGAAAGCGAGUUUUAAAAACGAGCAGUUUGGGGCGGCAUAGAAUCGUUGAUUCUAGGUCCGACCUUGAGCAGUUGCGCUGGGACCCGAAAGAUGGUGAACUAUGCCGGAGUAGGGCAAAGCCAGAAGAAAUUCUGGUGGAGGCUCGUAGCGGUGCUGACGUGCAAAUCGCUCGUCGAACUUGGGUAUAGGGGCGAAAGACUAAUCGAACCAUCUAGUAGCUGGUUCCCUCCGAAGUUUCUCUCAGGAUAGCAGGCCGACAAGUUGUUUUGUGCGGUAAAGCGAAUGAUUAGCGUACUCGGGGACGUUUAGUCUUUGGACGAUUCUCAAACUUUCAAUGCGCAAGGGUACCGGUGCUUUGUUGAGCGGUACCGAUAAAAACGUCGGCCUUGUGGGCCAUCGAGACAGCAGGACGGUGGCCAUGGAAGUCGGAAUCCGCCAAGGAGUGUGUAACAACUCACCUGCCGAAUGAAUUAGCCCUGAAAAUGGAUGGCGCUUAAGCGGGCGACCGACACCAUGCCGUCUGUGAAAUGUAUUUCAGAUGAGUAGGAGGGCGUGGCGGCCGUGUCGAAGCGUGCUUGCAGAGGCAUGUGGAACGGCCGCUAGUGCAGAUCUUGGUGGUAGUAGCAAAUAUUCAAGCGAGAUCCUUGAAGGGCGAAGCGGGGAAGGGUUCCACGCGAACAUUGAUUGGGCGUGGGUGAGUCGUUCCUAAGCCGAGUGGCGAUUGCUAAGUAGCGGCGAAAGGGAAGCGGGUUGACAUUCCCGCACACGGAUGUGGAGGCGGUGACGCUUUAUUGGGGCGAACACGCUGGCGGUGGCGCUGGGCAGAGUUGUCUUUUCUGUUUGACCGCUGAUGCACGCGGUGUGGAAUCCGCUUGUCGGGAGAAACACGCGUGUACGGGCAGAGCGCCGGGGCUUUUCCGGCGUCCAGCUCGCCACCGACGGCCCUUGAAACUUUGCCUGCUGGUAUUUUUAAUAAAGAUCCACGCCGUGGCGUACCGAUCACCGCAUCAGGUCCCCAAGGUGAACAGCCUCUGCUCGAUAUGAACAAUGCAGGUAAGGGAAGUCGGCAAAUUGGACCCGUAACUUUGGGAAAAGGGUUGGCUCUAGUGCUGCGUGGGAGUGGUUGUCGAGUGUUGGUGUGUCUAGGCUUGCUGGAAUGAGCGCGGGCCCUUCGGGGACUGUGUUUAUCUGGCGGGCCCGGGCGCGCCACGCUCGACGACGCCCACAGCAUGCAGCAGACUAGAACUGCAACGGGCAAAGGGAAUCCGACUGUUUAAUUAAAACAAAGCAUUGCGAGGGCCGUGGCCGGUGAUGACGCAAUGUGAUUUCUGCUCAGUGCUCUGAAUGUCAAAGUGAAGAGAUUCAAUCAAGCGCGGGUAAACAGCGGGAGUAACUAUGACUCUCUUAAGGUAGCCAAAUGCCUCGUCAUCUAAUUAGUGACGCGCAUGAAUGGAUUAACGAGAUUCCUACUGUCCCUAUCUGCUUCUAGCGAAACCACAGCCGAGGGAACGGGCUCGGCGAAAUCGGCGGGGAAAGAAGACCCUGUUGAGCUUGACUCUAUUCUAAUUUUGUGAAGCAAGCUGGGAGGUGUAGCAUAGGUGGGAGACUUUGGUCGUCCGUGAAAUACCACUACUCCCAGUCUUGCUUUACUUACUGGGUGGGUGUGGAUGAGUCUUACGACUCUUUUCUGGAACCAACCUGAUUUAAUUUGGGGACCACAGCUCAGUACACAUUUAGGAGGGGAGUUUGGCUGGGGCGGUACAUCUUCUACAAGACAACGAAGGUGUCCAAAGAUAAGCUCAGUGAGAACAGAAAUCUCACGUAGCGCAAAAGGGUAAAAGCUUGUUUGAUUUUGAUUUUCAGUGCGAGUCAAAAACGCGAAAGCGUGGCCUAUCGAUCCUUUCACGAUUCGAGAUUUGAAGCGAGAGGUGUCAGAAAAGUUACCACAGGGAUAACUGGCUUGUGGCGGCCAAGCGUUCAUAGCGA